AAGUCGUAACAAGGUUUCUGUAGGUGAACCUGCGGAAGGAUCAUUAACACGUAUCCACGUUAAACCCCCCUGGGAACUAGUUCUGGUGAGAAGUUACAGUUACGAUUGAGCGAUCGUUGCAAGCCUGGUUUCCCCAAACAAUUAGUGUCUAACAGUGUCACUGAUUGCGUAAGGAUAACGAUCACUAGAGGCCGAACACCGGCCGGUGACCAGGUCGUGGCUUCGGCCCCCUAUAUUCACCCCACUACCUGCACUC
rnacentral:misc_RNA from 1 species